GUAAUGCCUUGGCUCUUAUCAAUAGCUAUGCUUCGUCCCACACCAACUAGCAAUAAUGUCAUGCCCUUGUACUUUAUGUCUCCUUGCGGUUGUUAAUUGAGUUAGCUUUAAUUAUUUUGGGUCAUCCUCUUCUGCAAUUAUUGAUGAAACUCCCUUUAUUUUGGUUUCAAUACAUGGUGUGGUUUAGGAGUGGUUUACCAUACCCAAAUACACGUAUCAUUAGUCAAUAGAUUUGAAAGUGAGGCUAGGGAAUGGGAAAUUGCUUGAGGCUUCUUUGGGUUGAUUUUUAAGACUGUAAAUUUUCUUUCAUUUAUGCUUUGGAAACUUUACUUGUAUGCAUACUGUAUCAAUAUGAAAAUUGCUCGACUGUGAAAAAGGAAAUUCCCUUUUUCCCUCUCUGGAGUACUCUUUCUGUUCCCUCCAUAAUAGAUGGUGCAAGUUUGGAAC
rnacentral:misc_RNA from 1 species